GAGAUUAUGAAGAUAGAAGGUUAUAGCAAAGAAUUUCUGGACUUGGUAUUCGAUCAUUUGGUGCAAAAUGAGAAGCUAGGAAAAGCAUUUAUGGCGAAGAGUCAAAGACUUCAUUUGAUUUCUCUCGAGAGGUUCAAGAAAGAUUGGGGCGUCGAAUAAACACCAUUGAACCUUGGAGGUGAUCUAGAAGUG